CCUACGGGUGGCAGCAGUGGGGAAUAUUGGGCAAUGGGCGCAAGCCUGACCCAGCAACGCCGCGUGAAGGAAGAAGGCUUUCGGGUUGUAAACUUCUUUUAUUAGAGACGAAGAACGUGACUGUACCUCAUUAUUAAGUGACCGCUAACUACGUGCCAGCAGCCGCGGUAAUACGGAAGUGGCAAGCCUUAUCCGGAUUGAUUGGUUGUAAAGGGCGUGUAGGCGGGAAGGCAAGUCAGAUGUGAAAACUCAGGGCUCAACCCUGAGACUGCAUUUGAAACUGGUAUUCUUGAGUGCAGGAGAGGCAAUCGGAAUUCGGGGUGUAGCGGUGAAAUGCGUAGAUAUCAGGAGGAACACCAGUGGCGAAGGCGGAUUG
rnacentral:rRNA from 1 species